rnacentral:snoRNA from 1 species
GGGUUGUGCUCAGUAGCAUGCAGCCUGAAGAAAUGGCUCCUGCUUACACCAGACCCAACAGGAAUCUGGUUAUUUGACAAGGGGAACACAAAACUCCGUGGCCUUUCCUCUGAACAAGUACCCUACAACG